GACGAACGCUGCGGCGUCCUUAUACAUGCAAGUGGGACGCAAGGGAACACACUGUGCUUGCACACCCGUGUUUCUUGAGUCGCGAACGGGUGAGUAACGCGUAGGUAACCUGCCUAUUAGCGGGGGAUAACUAUUGGAAACGAUAGCUAAUACCGCAUAAUAUUAAUUAUUGCAUGAUAAUUGAUUGAAAGAUGCAAGCGCAUCACUAGUAGAUGGACCUGCGUUGUAUUAGCUAGUUGGUAAGGUAAGAGCUUACCAAGGCGACGAUACAUAGCCGACCUGAGAGGGUGAUCGGCCACACUGGGACUGAGACACGGCCCAGACUCCUACGGGAGGCAGCAGUAGGGAAUCUUCGGCAAUGGACGAAAGUCUGACCGAGCAACGCCGCGUGAGUGAAGAAGGUUUUCGGAUCGUAAAGCUCUGUUGUAAGUCAAGAACGUGUGUGAGAGUGGAAAGUUCACACAGUGACGGUAGCUUACCAGAAAGGGCG
rnacentral:rRNA from 1 species